UACGUAGGGCGCAAGCGUUAUCCGGAAUUAUUGGGCGUAAAGAGCUCGUAGGCGGUUUGUCGCGUCUGCCGUGAAAGUCCGGGGCUCAACUCCGGAUCUGCGGUGAGUACGGGCAGACUAGAGUGAUGUAGGGGAGACUGGAAUUCCUGGUGUAGCGGUGAAAUGCGCAGAUAUCAGGAGGAACACCGAUGGCGAAGGCAGGUCUCUGGGCAUUAACUGACGCUGAGGAGCGAAAGCAUGGGGAGCGAACAGG
rnacentral:rRNA from 1 species